rnacentral:rRNA from 1 species
UGAAUACGAGACGCUAAGGCGUCGAAGUAGUGUAUGUCAUACUUCCAAGAAAAGCUUGCACUGUCAUAGAUAAAAAACGCCUGUACCAUAACCGACACAGGUGGGUAGGUAGAGUAUACUAAGGGGCGCGAGAUAACUCUCUCUAAGGAACUCGGCAAAAUAACUCCGUAACUUCGGGAGAAGGAGUGCCUUAUUCGUAAGGUUGCAAUAACAAGAUCCAAGCAACUGUUUAUCAAAAACACAGGUCUCCGCUAAGUCGUAAGACGAUGUAUGGGGGCUGACGCCUGCCCAGUGCCAGAAGGUUAAAGAAGUUGGUUAGCAAUUGCGAAGCUGAUAACUGAAGCCCUGGUGAACGGCGGCCGUAACAAUAACGGUCCUAAGGUAGCGAAAUUCCUUGUCGGGUAAGUUCCGACCCGCACGAAAGGCGUAAUGAUUUGGAUACUGUCUCGGAGAGGGGCUCGGUGAAAUAGACUUGUCUGUGAAGAUGCGGACUACCUGCACCAGGACAGAAAGACCCUAUGAAGCUUUACUGUAACUUGAAAUUGAAAUUGGACUUUAUUCGCGCAGUAUAGGUGGGAGGCGUUGAUUAUAAUCUUGUGGGAUUAUUGGAGCCAUCAGUGAGAUACCACUCUUGUAAUGUUAGAUUUCUAACUUUGAAUCAUUAUCUGGUCAAAGAACAGUUUCAGGCGGGCAGUUUGACUGGGGCGGUCGCCUCCUAAACGGUAACGGAGGCGUACAAAGGUUUCCUCUGAACGGUUAGAAAUCGUAUCUAGAGUGUAAAGGCAUAAGGAAGCUUGACUGUGAGACCUACAAGUCGAGCAGGGACGAAAGUCGGUCUUAGUGAUCUGACGGUACUGAGUGGAAAGGCCGUCACUCAACGGAUAAAAGUUACUCUAGGAUAACAGGCUGAUCUCCCCCAAGAGUUCACAUCGACGGGGAGGUUUGGCACCUCGAUGUCGGCUCAUCGCAUCCUGGGGCGGUAGUACGUCCCAAGGGUUGGGCUGUUCGCCCAUGAAAGCGGUACGCGAGCUGGUUCAGAACGUCGUGAGACAGUUCGGUCCAUAUCCGGUGUAGGCGUUAGAAUAUUGAGAGGAGCCUUCUUUAGUACGAGAGGACCGAGAAGGACAUACCUCUGGUGUACCAGUUAUCGUGCCAACGGUAAACGCUGGGUAGCUAUGUAUGGAGUGGAUAACCGCUGAAAGCAUCUAAGUGGGAAGCCCACCUCAAGAUAAGUAUUCUC